rnacentral:rRNA from 1 species
CACGAACGCUGGCGGCGUGCCUAAUACAUGCAAGUCGAGCGCCCCGCAAGGGGAGCGGCAGACGGGUGAGUAACGCGUGGGAAUCUACCCAUCUCUACGGAAUAACGCAUGGAAACGUGUGCUAAUACCGUAUACGUCCUUCGGGAGAAAGAUUUAUCGGAGAUGGAUGAGCCCGCGUUGGAUUAGCUAGUUGGUGGGGUAAAGGCCUACCAAGGCGACGAUCCAUAGCUGGUCUGAGAGGAUGAUCAGCCACACUGGGACUGAGACACGGCCCAGACUCCUACGGGAGGCAGCAGUGGGGAAUAUUGGACAAUGGGCGCAAGCCUGAUCCAGCCAUGCCGCGUGAGUGAUGAAGGCCCUAGGGUUGUAAAGCUCUUUCACCGGUGAAGAUAAUGACGGUAACCGGAGAAGAAGCCCCGGCUAACCUCGUGCCAGCAGCCGCGGUAAUAC